rnacentral:misc_RNA from 1 species
CCGAGUGAAGGGCGCUCCGGCGCCCGACCUCCCAACCCUUUGAUUUAGCACCCCAUUUGCCUCGGGGGUGACCCGGUCCUCCGCGUCCCCCCGGCGGUACCCCAACCAAACCCUGCAUCAAUUGUCGUCUGAGCGUUGAAGCGAAUUCAAUCA